UACGUAGGGGGGCAAGCGUUGUCCGGAUUUAUUGGGCGUAAAGAGCGUGUAGGCGGCCAGACAGGUCAGCUGUGAAAACUCGAGGCUCAACCUCGAGACGUCGGUUGAAACCGUCUGGCUAGAGUCCGGAAGAGGAGAGUGGAAUUCCCGGUGUAGCGGUGAAAUGCGCAGAUAUCGGGAAGAACACCCGUGGCUAAGGCGGCUCUCUAGUACGGUACUGACGCUGAGACGCGAAAGCGUGGGGAGCGAACAGG
rnacentral:rRNA from 1 species